UUUUCCAAUGUCAAGUAUCUCUUCCUUAGACCAUGAGAUCGUGUAACUCCCGGAUACCGUAGGAGUGCUUUGGGUGUAUCAAACGUCACAACGUAACUGGGUGACUAUAAAGGUGCACUACAGGUAUCUCCGAAAGUGUCUGUUGGGUUGACACGGAUCGAGACUGGGAUUUGUCACUCCGUGCAAACGGAGAGGUAUCUCUGGGCCCACUCGGUAGGACAUCAUCAUAAUGUGCACAGUGUGACCAAGGGGUUGAUCACAGGAUGAUGUGUUGCGGAACGAGUAAAGAGACUUGCCGGUAACGAGAUUGAACAAGGUAUCGGCAUACCGACGAUCGAAUCUCGGGCAAGUAAAAUACCGCUAGACAAAGGGAAUUGUAUAUGGGAUCGACUGAGUCCUUGACAUCGUGGUUCAUGCGAUGAGAUCAUCGUGGAACAUGUGGGAGCCAACAUGGGUAUACAGAUCCCGCUGUUGGUUAUUGACCGGAGAACGUCUCGGUCAUGUCUACAUGUCUCCCGAACCCGUAGGGUCUACACACUUAAGGUUCGAUGACGCUAGGGUUAUAAAGGAAGCUUGUAUGUGGUUACCGAAUGUUGUUCGGAGUCCCGGAUGAGAUCCCGGACGUCACGAGGAGUUCCGGAAUGGUCCGGAGGUAAAGAUUUAUAUAUGGGAAGUCCUGUUUUGGUCACCGGAAAGGUUUCGGGUUUUAUCGGUAACGUACCGGGACCACCGGGAGGGUCCCGGGGGUCCACCAAGUGGAGCCACCUACCCCAGAGGGCUGCAUGGGCCAUGUGUGGGAGGGAACCAGCCCCAGGUGGGCUGGUGCGCCCCCCACAAGGGGCCCAAGGCGCAGGAAGUGGGGAAGGGGGGCAAACCCUAGGGCAGAUGGGCCCUAAGGCCCACCCUGGGUGCGCCUCCCCCUCUCUCCCCCUCUGGCCGCCACCCAGAUGGGAUCUGAGGGCUGGCCGCCGCCCCCUAGGGGUGGAAACCUAGGUGGGGGCACAGCCCCCUCUCCCCCUAUAUAUAGUGAGGCAUAGGAGCAGCCCAACACAUGAGUUUCUUCUCCUGUUGGCGCAGCCAUACCUCUCUCCCUUCUCCUCAGAUCUCGCGGUGCUUGGCAAAGCCCUGCUGGACUACCACGCUCCUCCAUCACCACCACGCCGUUGUGCUGCUGCUGGAUGGAGUCUUCCUCAACCUCUCCCUCUCUCCUUGCUGGAUCAAGGCGCGGGAGACGUCACCGGGUUGUACGUGUGUUGAACGCGGAGGUGUCGUCCGUUCGGCACUAGGAUCUCCGGUGAUUUGGAUCACGACGAGUACGACUCCUUCAACCCCGUUCUCUUGAACGCUUCCGCUUAGCGAUCUACAAGGGUAUGUAGAUGCACUCUCCUUCCCCUCGUUGCUGGUUUCUCCAUAGAUAGAUCUUGGUGACACGUAGGAAAUUUUUUGAAUUUCUGCUACGUUCCCCAACAGUGGCAUCAUGAGCUAGGUCUAUUGCAUAGAUUCUUUGCACGAGUAGAACACAAAGUAGUUGUGGGCGUUGAUGUUGUUCAAUAUGCUUACCGUUACUAGUCCAAUCUUGUUUCGACGGUAUUGUGGGAUGAAGCGGCCCAGACCGACCUUACACGUACUCUUAUGUGAGACAGGUUCCACCGAUUGACAUGCACUUCGUGCAUAAGGUGGCUAGCGGGUGCCAGUCUCUCCCACUUUAGUCGGAACGGAUUCGAUGAAAAGGGUCCUUAUGAAGGGUAAAUAGCAAUUGGCAUAUCACGUUGUGGUUUUGCGUAGGUAAGAAACGUUCUUGCUAGAAACCCAUAGCAGCCACGUAAAACAUGCAAACAACAAUUAGAGGACGUCUAACUUGUUUUUGCAGGGUAUGCUAUGUGAUGUGAUAUGGCCAAGAAGAAUGUGAUGAAUGAUAUGGGAUAUAUGAGAUUGAUCAUGUUCUUGUAAUAGGAAUCACGACUUGCAUGUCGAUGAGUAUGACAACCGGCAGGAGCCAUAGGAGUUGUCUUGAUUUAUUGUAUGACCUGCGUGUCAUUGAACAACGCCAUGUAAUUACUUUACUUUAUUGCUAACCGGUAGCCAUAGUAGUAGAAGUAAUAGUUGGCGAGACAACUUCAUGAAGACACGAUGAUGGAGAUCAUGAUGAUGAAGAUCAUGGUGUCAUGCCGGUGACGAUGAUAAUCAUGGAGCCCCGAAGAUGGAGAUCAAAAGGAGCAAAAUGAUAUUGGCCAUAUCAUGUCACUAUUUGAUUGCAUGUGAUGUUUAUCAUGUUUAUGCAUCUUGUUUACUUAGGACGACGGUAGUAAAUAAGAUGAUCCCUUACAAAAUUUCAAGAAGUGUUCUCCCCUAACUGUGCACCGUUGCUACAGUUUGUCGCUUCUAAGCACCACGUGAUGAUCGGGUGUGAUGGAUUCUUACGUUCACAUACAACGGGUGUAAGACAGUUUUACACAGCGAAAACACUUAGGGUUAACUUGACGAGCCUAGCAUGUACAGACAUGGCCUCGGAACACGGAGACCGAAAGGUCGAGCAUGAGUCGUAUAGUAGAUACGAUCAACAUGAAGAUGUUCACCGAUGAUGACUAGUCCGUCUCACGUGAUGAUCGGACACGACCUAGUUGACUUGGAUCAUGUAAUCACUUAGAUGACCAGAGGGAUGUCUAUCUGAGUGGGAGUUCAUAAGAUGAACUUAAUUAUCCUGAACAUAGUCAAAAGAUCUUUGCAAAUUAUGUCGUAAGCUCGCGCUUUAGUUCCACUAUUUAGAUAUGUUCCUAGAGAAAAUAUAGUUGAAAGUUGACAGUAGCGAUUAUGCGGACAGUAGAAAACUCAUGUCCUUAAUGCACCGCUCAGUGUGCUGAACCCCAAACGUCGUUUGUGGAUGUUGCGAACAUCGGACAUACACGUUUUGAUAACUACGUGAUAGUUCGGAAUAAACAGUUUAGAAUUAAGGCACCAAAGAUGUUUUUCGAAAUGUCGCGGAACAUAUGAGAUGUUUCGAGGGCUGAAAUUGAGAUUUCAGGCUCGUGCCCACGUCAAGAGGUAUGAGACCUCCGACAAUUUUCUUAGCCUGCAAACUAAGGGAGAAAAGCUCAAUCGUUGAGCUUGUGCUCAGAUUGUCUGAGUGCAACAAUCACUUGAAUCGAGUGGGAGUUAAUCUUCCAGAUGAGAUAGUGACGUUUCUCCAAAGUCAUUGCCACCAAGCUGCUAGAGCUUCGUGAUGAACUAUAACAUAUCAGGGAUAGAUAUGAUGAUCCUUGAGGUAUUCGUGAUGUUUGACACCGCGAAAGUAGAAAUCAAGAAGGAGCAUCAAUUGUUGAUGGUUGGUGAAACCACUAGUUUCAAGAAGGGCAAGGGCAAGAAGGGAUACUUCAUGAAACGGCAAAUCAGCUGCUGCUCUAGUGAAGAAACCCAAGGUUGAACCCAAACCCGAGACUAAGUGCUUCUGUAAUAAGGGGAAUAGCCACUGGAGCGGAAUUACCCUAGAUACUUGGUAGAUGAGAAGGCUGGCAAGGUCGAUAGAAGUAUAUUGGAUAUACAUUAUGUUAAUGUGUACUUUACUAGUACUUCUAGUAGCACCAGGGUAUUAGAUACCGUUUCGGUUGCUAAGUGUUAGUAACUCGAAAUAAAAGCUACGGAAUAAACGGAGACUAGCUAAAGGUGAGCUGAUGAUAUGUGUUGGAAGUGUUUCCAAGGUUGAUGUGAUCAAGCAUCGCCCGCUCACUCUACCAUCGAAAUUUGGUGUUUGCGUUGAGCAUAGACAUGAUUGGAUUAUGUCUAUCGCAAUACGGUUAUUCAUUUAAGGAGAAUAAUGGUUACUCUAUUUAUUUGAAUAAUACCUUCAAUGGUCUUGCACCUAAAGGAAUGGUUUAUUGAAUCUCGAUCAUAGUGAUACACAUUUUCAUGCCAAAAAGGAUAUAAGAUAGUAAUGAUAGUACCACUUACUUGUGGCACUGCCAUGUAAGUCAUAUUGGUGUAAAACGCAUGAAGAAGCUCCAUGUUGAUGGAUCUUUGGACUCACUCGUUUUGGAAAAGUUUGAGACAUGCAAACCAUGUCUAUUGGUAUGUACGCAUGAAGAAACUCCAUGCAGAUGGAUCGUUUGGACUCACUUGAUUUUGAAUCACUUGAGAUAUGCAAAUCAUACCACAUGGGCAAGAUGACUAAAAGCCUCGUUUUUCAGUAAAAUGGAACAAGAUAGCAACUUGUUGGAAGUAACACUUUUUGAUGUGUGCAGUCCAAUGAGUGCUGAGGCAUGCAGUGAAUAUCGUUAUGUUCUUACUUCACAGAUGAUUCGAGUAGAUGUAGAGUAUAUUUACUUGAUGAAACACAAGUCUGAAUUAUUGAAUGGUUCAAGUAAUUUCAGAGUGAAGUUGAAGAUCAUCGUGACAAGAGGAUGAAAUGUCUAUGAUAUGAUCAUAGAGAUGAGUAUCUGAGUUACGAGCUUUGGCACACAAUUAAGACAUUGUGGAAAUUGUUUCACAAUUAAUACCGCCUGGAACACCAUAGUUUGAUGGUGUGUCCGAACAUCAUAGUUGCACCCUAUUGGAUAUGGUGCGUACCAUGAUGUCUCUUAUCGAAUUACCACUAUAGUUUAUGGGUUAGGCAUUAGAGAUAACCACAUUCACUUUAAAUAGGGCACCACGUAAUUCCGUUGAGAUGACACCGUAUGAACUAUGGUUUAAAGAAACCUAAGUUGUCAUUUCUUAAAGGUUUGGGGCUGCGACGCUUAUGUGAAAAAGUUUCAGGUUGAUAAGCUCGAACCCAAAGCGGAUAAAAUGCAUCUUCAUAGGACACCCAAAACAGGUGGGUAUACCUCCUAAUUCAGAUCCGAAAGCAAUAGGGAUUGUUUCUUGAAUCGGGUCCUUUCUCGAGGAAAAGUUUGUCUCGAAAAGUUGAGUGGGAGGAUGGUGGAAACUUGAUAUGGUUAUUGAACCGUCACUACAACUAGUGUGUAGCAGGGCACAGGAAGUUGUUCCUGUGGCACCUACACCAAUUGAAGUAGAAGCUUAUGAUAGUGAUCAUGAAACUUCGGAUCAAGUCACUACCGUACCUCGUAGGGUGACAAGGAUGCGUACUGCUUCAGAGUGGUACAGUAAUCCUGUCUUGAAGGUCAUGUUGCUAGACAACAAUGAACCUACGAGCUAUGGAGAAGCGAUGGUGGGCCCAAAUUCCGACAAAUGGUUAGAAGCCAUGAAAUCCGAGGUAGGAUCCAUGUAUCAGAACAAAGCAUGGACUUUGGUGGACUUGCCCGAUGAUCGGCAAGCCAUUAAGAUAAAUGGAUCUUUAAGAAGAAGACGGACGUGGAUGGUAAUGUCACCAUCUAUGAAGCUCGACUUGUGGCGAAGAGUUUUUCACAAGUUCAAAGAGUUGACUACGAUGAGAUUUUCUCAUCCGUAGCGAUGCUUAAGUCCGUCGGAAUCAUGUUAGCAUUAGCUGCAUUUAUGAAAUCUGGCAGAUGGAUGUCAAAACGAGUUUCCUUACCAGUCUUCAUAAGGAAAGGUUGUAUGCGAUACAAUAAGAAAAGUUUUGUCGAUCCUAAGGAUGCUAAAAGGUAUGCUAGCUCCAGCGAUCCUUCCAUGGACUGGAGUAAGCAUCUCGGAGUUGGAAUGUGCGUUUUGAUGAGAUGAUCAAAGAUUUUGGGUUUAUACAAAAGUUUAUGAGAAACUUGUAUUUCCAAAGAAGUGAGUGGGAGCAUUAUAGAAUUUCUGAUGAGUAUAUGUUAUUGACAUAUUGUUGAUCAGAAAUGAUGUAGAAUUUCUGGAAAGCAUAUAGGGCUAUUGGAAAGUGUUUUUCAAUAGAAAACCUGGAUUAAGCUUCUUGAACAUUGAGCAUCAAGAUCUAUAAGGAUAGAUCAAAACACUUAAUGGUACUUUCAAAUGAGCAUAUACCUUGACAUGAUCUUGAAGGUGUUCAAGAUGGAUCAGUCAAAGAAGGAGUUCUUGCCUGAGAUGUAAGGUAUGAAGUUAAGACUUAAAAGCUCGACCACGGCAGAAUAGAGAGAAAGGACGAAGGUCGUCCCCUAUGUUUCAGACGUAGGCUCUAUAGUAUGCUAUGCUGUGUACUGCACCGGAAGUGUGCCUUGCCAUGAGUCAGUCAAGGGGUACAAGAAUGAUCCAGGAAUGGAUCAUUGGACAGCGGUCAAAAUUGUCCUUGAAGUAAAUAAGGACAUGUUUCUCGAUUAUGGAGGUGAUAAAGAGUUCGGCGUAAAGGGUUACGUCGAUGCAAGCUUUAACACCUAUCCGAGUGACUCUGAGUAGCAAACCGGAUACGUAUAGUGGAGCAACCAUUUGGAAUAGCUCCAAGUGGAGCGUGGAACUAGCAUUUACAAUAUGACCUAGAAAUUUGCAAAGCACACACGGAUCUGAAAGGUUCAGACCCGUUGACUAAAACCUCUCUCACAAGCAAAACAUGAUCAAACCCCAGAACUCAUUUGAUGAUGUUGGUCACAUGGCGAUGUGACCUGUGAGUGUUAAUCACAUGGUGAUGUGAACUAGAUUAUUGACUCUAGUGCAAGUGGGAGACUGUUGGAAAUAUGCCCUAGAGGCAAUAAUAAAAGUAUUAUUAUUAUAUUUCCUUGUUCAUGAUAAUUGUCUUUUAUUCAUGCUAUAACUGUAUUAUCCGGAAAUCGUAAUACACGUGUGAAUACAUAGACCACAAUAUGUCCCUAGUGAGCCUCUAGUUGACUAGCUCGUUGAGAUCAACAGAUAGUCAUGGUUUCCUGGCUAUGGACAUUGGAUGUCGUUGAUAACGGGAUCACAUCAUUAGGAGAAUGAUGUGAUGGACAAGACCCAAUCCUAAGCAUAGCACAAAGAUCGUGUAGUUCGUUUGCUAGAGCUUUUCCAAUGUCAAGUAUCUCUUCCUUAGACCAUGAGAUCGUGUAACUCCCGGAUACUGUAGGAGUGCUUUGGGUGUAUCAAACGUCACAACGUAACUGGGUGACUAUAAAGGUGCACUACAGGUAUCUCCGAAAGUGUCUGUUGGGUUGACACGGAUCGAGACUGGGAUUUGUCACUCCGUGCAAACGGAGAGGUAUCUCUGGGCCCACUCGGUAGGACAUCAUCAUAAUGUGCACAGUGUGACCAAGGGGUUGAUCAUGGGAUGAUGUGUUGCGGAACGAGUAAAGAGACUUGCCGGUAACGAGAUUUAACAAGGUAUCGGUAUACCGACGAUCGAAUCUUGGGCAAGUAAAAUACCGCUAGACAAAGGGAAUUGUAUACGGGAUCGACUGAGUCCUUGACAUCGUGGUUCAUCCGAUGAGAUCAUCGUGGAACAUGUGGGAGCCAACAUGGGUA
rnacentral:lncRNA from 1 species